UACAGAGGUCUCAAGCGUUGUUCGGAUUUAUUGGGCGUAAAGAGCGUGUAGGCGGCCAUACAGGUCCGUUGUGAAAACUGGAGGCUUAACCUCCAGACGUCGAUGGAAACCGUAUGGCUAGAGUCCGGAAGAGGAGAGUGGAAUUCCUGGUGUAGCGGUGAAAUGCGCAGAUAUCAGGAAGAACACCCGUGGCGAAGGCGGCUCUCUGGGACGGUACUGACGCUGAGACGCGAAAGCGUGGGGAGCGAACAGG
rnacentral:rRNA from 1 species